UACGGGGGGAGCAAGCGUUGUUCGGAUUUACUGGGCGUAAAGGGCGGGUAGGCGGCCACCGCAAGUCGACUGUGAAAUCUCCGGGCUUAACCCGGAAAGGUCAGCCGAUACUGCGGGGCUAGAGUGCAGGAGGGGCAACUGGAAUUCUCGGUGUAGCGGUGAAAUGCGUAGAUAUCGAGAGGAACACCUGCGGCGAAGGCGGGUUGCUGGGCUGACACUGACGCUGAACUGCGAAAGCUAGGGGAGCGAACGGG
rnacentral:rRNA from 1 species